rnacentral:rRNA from 1 species
UACGGAGGGGGCGAGCGUUGUCCGGAAUUAUUGGGCGUAAAGCGCGCGCAGGUGGUUUCUUAAGUCUGAUGUGAAAGCCCACGGCUCAACCGUGGAGGGUCAUUGGAAACUGGGGAACUUGAGUGCAGAAGAGGAAAGUGGAAUUCCACGUGUAGCGGUGAAAUGCGUAGAGAUGUGGAGGAACACCAGUGGCGAAGGCGACUUUCUGGUCUGUAACUGACACUGAGGCGCGAAAGCGUGGGGAGCGAACAGG